GACGAACGCUGGCGGCGUGCCUAAUACAUGCAAGUCGAACGAACCGCGACUAGGUGCUUGCACUUGGUCAAGGUGAGUGGCGAACGGGUGAGUAACACGUGGGUAACCUACCUCAUAGAGGGGGGUAACAGUCGGAAACGACUGCUAAUACCGCAUAGGACAUAGGAUCACAUGAUCCAGUGAGGAAAGGUGGCGCAAGCUAUCGCUAAGAGAUGGACCCGCGGUGCAUUAGCUAGUUGGUAGGGUAAAGGCCUACCAAGGCGAUGAUGCAUAGCCGACCUGAGAGGGUGAUCAGCCACAUUGGGACUGAGACACGGCCCAAACUCCUACGGGAGGCAGCAGUAGGGAAUAUUCCGCAAUGGGCGCAAGUCUGACGGAGCAACGCCGCGUGAGUGAAGAAGGUCUUCGGAUCGUAAAGCUCUGUUGUUAGAGAAGAACAGCGCAUAGAGUAACUGUUAUGCGUGUGACGGUAUCUAAACAGAAAGCCACGGCUAACUACGUG
rnacentral:rRNA from 1 species